AUUGAACGCUGGCGGCAUGCCUUACACAUGCAAGUCGAACGGCAGCACGGGAGCAAUCCUGGUGGCGAGUGGCGAACGGGUGAGUAAAGUAUCGGAACGUGCCCAGUCGUGGGGGAUAACGUAGCGAAAGUUACGCUAAUACCGCAUACGAUCUAUGGAUGAAAGCGGGGGAUCGCAAGACCUCGCGCGAUUGGAGCGGCCGAUAUCAGAUUAGGUAGUUGGUGGGGUAAAGGCCCACCAAGCCGACGAUCUGUAGCUGGUCUGAGAGGACGACCAGCCACACUGGGACUGAGACACGGCCCAGACUCCUACGGGAGGCAGCAGUGGGGAAUUUUGGACAAUGGGCGAAAGCCUGAUCCAGCCAUGCCGCGUGCAGAAUGAAGGCCUUCGGGUUGUAAACUGCUUUUGUACGGAACGAAAAGGACUGCCCUAAUACGGUGGUCCCAUGACGGUACCGUAAGAAUAAGCACCGGCUAACUACGUGCCAGCCGCCGCAGUAAUAC
rnacentral:rRNA from 1 species